CAGAGUUUGAUCCUGGCUCAGAUUGAACGCUAGCGGGAUGCCUUACACAUGCAAGUCGAACGGCAGCACGGACUUCGGUCUGGUGGCGAGUGGCGAACGGGUGAGUAAUGUAUCGGAACGUGCCCAGUAGCGGGGGAUAACUACGCGAAAGCGUAGCUAAUACCGCAUACGCCCUACGGGGGAAAGCAGGGGAUCGCAAGACCUUGCACUAUUGGAGCGGCCGAUAUCGGAUUAGCUAGUUGGUGGGGUAACGGCUCACCAAGGCGACGAUCCGUAGCUGGUUUGAGAGGACGACCAGCCACACUGGGACUGAGACACGGCCCAGACUCCUACGGGAGGCAGCAGUGGGGAAUUUUGGACAAUGGGGGAAACCCUGAUCCAGCCAUCCCGCGUGUGCGAUGAAGGCCUUCGGGUUGUAAAGCACUUUUGGCAGGAAAGAAACGUCGCGGGUUAAUACCCCGCGAAACUGACGGUACCUGCAGAAUAAGCACCGGCUAACUACGUGCCAGCAGCCGCGGUAAUACGUAGGGUGCAAGCGUUAAUCGGAAUUACUGGGCGUAAAGCGUGCGCAGGCGGUUCGGAAAGAAAGAUGUGAAAUCCCAGAGCUUAACUUUGGAACUGCAUUUUUAACUACCGGGCUAGAGUGUGUCAGAGGGAGGUGGAAUUCCGCGUGUAGCAGUGAAAUGCGUAGAUAUGCGGAGGAACACCGAUGGCGAAGGCAGCCUCCUGGGAUAACACUGACGCUCAUGCACGAAAGCGUGGGGGAGCAAAAC
rnacentral:rRNA from 1 species